CAACUUUUGAACGGUGG
rnacentral:rRNA from 1 species